ACGCCACUUUGGUUCGACUCGACCUCGCGGUAACGUAGCCAUAGUGGACGCAGAUUGAAUCGACCUAAGUGGUCA
rnacentral:pre_miRNA from 1 species